CCUGGUGACCAUAGCGAGCUGGAACCACCCCUUCCCAUCCCGAACAGGACGGUGAAACAGCUCCGCGCCGAUGAUAGUGCGGAUUACCCGUGUGAAAGUAGGUCAUCGCCAGGC
rnacentral:rRNA from 1 species